UACGGGGGGAGCAAGCGUUGUUCGGAUUUACUGGGCGUAAAGGGCGCGUAGGCGGCCACCGCAAGUCGAUUGUGAAAUCUCCGGGCUUAACCCGGAAAGGUCAACCGAUACUGCGGGGCUAGAGUGCAGAAGGGGCAACUGGAAUUCUCGGUGUAGCGGUGAAAUGCGUAGAUAUCGAGAGGAACACCUGCGGCGAAGGCGGGUUGCUGGGCUGACACUGACGCUGAAGUGCGAAAGCUAGGGGAGCAAACAGG
rnacentral:rRNA from 1 species